GGUGAUGGUGCAGGUUUCCAUGAGGACCCACCUGUCCCACUACCACCUGUACCUGGACGAGUUCGGGAAGGUCUGCUCUACAGGGAUGAGUUUGUCAACCUUCACUUCAUUGACAGACCUCAACCUCAGCCUCGUGCAGCUGUGUGAUGCUUCCCGACCCAUCAACAGGUUAAUUCCACACCUACUUCCAACUCUGCAGCCUGCAGUUCAAGUUCCCUCUUCAGGCGGAUGAACUGCAGCUCCUCCUCAUCCACCAACAUGGUGCAGGUCCCAACUGGUGUACUGGAGGAAGCUGCAGCGGCAGGAACUACUGGUGGUGGUGUGGUGGUGGUUUGAGGUGUGUCUGUGCUGGGUUGGGGAGGGACAGGUGGUGUGACAUCCACCUGAAGACUCCUGGCAAAAAUACAUCCAUCAGUACCUGCACUCAUAAUUUUCUUGUGUUAUUUGACUUACAUCCCCAUUUAUGGAAACAAUACAGUUUAGGUUGAAAAGCCUUUGCAGGA